UUUAUGGGUCGACAGAUUUUUUGGGUCAACACUGAAAAUGUUUGCAAAAGAGGCUACUUAUUUUGAUGUAUUUUACACGCAAUAUAUAGAGACAAGCAGUCCCACAUUGGAAGAGAAGUGCUGUCUCAUAAGGAACCGUAUCUACAUUGUGUAUAGCCCUGAGUGAAAUGCAGUGAAAAAGGUCUGUAAGCUUGUACGACUUGAAUACAUGCAAAUUUUCCCAGACACAAGAACCCUUAACCUUUACCUGACUCCAUGUUCAGCUGCAAUUUUGCCACCCUGGCUAUUCUGGGCGUAUGUGUUUGUAAUAUGUGCUACAAAAACCAACAAAAAGGCCUACACUUUGUGAGAUAAGUGCGACCUUGGGUAGUAUGAACCCGGCUUGUUUUAACAGCCUUUAAUAAUACACCAAUAAUUGCAAGAUCACCAACAUUUUUCAUCUCCAGAUUACUAAAUCCACGAGUUUGACUAUAGGUCUCUUUUGAUCUAUGUUUUAUAUUCUGAUAAAAUGGGUAUUUGACCAAUCAAAGUGCAUGCGGGGUCUAUCUAUAUUAUAAAGCAAGAUAGAAAAUUAUUUAGUUUUGAUCUGGCAAAACCGUUGAACACGUACAAAAAAACUGUGUCCCGGAAUGGUAAUGUUCAGUUUUUAAAUUAAGUUUUUGUCUGAUUCCCGGCUUCAGUAAAUUGCCAUCGUCAGCUUUUUCUGAUGGACUGUUCAGGUUGUGUUGGAUGAAAAAGAGAAAUGUGAAAUAAUUUCCAUAGAAUGUCAAUUACAAGAAAUUUUGACUUUUCAUUAGCCUGCAUGGCAGGCGUCCAAAGGGGAGGGAAAAGGGAAAGACGCGUACGAGCGCACGAAGCGCGUGAGGGUAGGGGACGUCUGCAAGGACGCUGUUGUUUUUUUCAUUCCAUCCCCUAAUUAACUAUACAAAACCCACUCAACUGUGGAAUGUCUGGCUGUACAAAUUAUCCAAUCAGAAUCACACCGCUUCUUUUGUGGUGAAGUCUGUAGGCGCCAACAGGUUCUCGUAUUUCUUGUUAGUGCAAAGUGCACUAUUGGGAUGGUUUAGGUGGCUGCUUUUCGCUAAAGCACUUAAGCAAUAAUGCCAUAACGCCACAAGGUGUAAACUUAAAUGUUUGUUUAAUUAAUUAAUUUCAAUUAAUCAAUUAGCCUUGCGGUAAGGGGGGCUGGGUGGCGUAGGUACCCGUUUGCACUAUGCAAAACAAGUUAUACUUACAUUGUUUUUCUAAAACAUGACAAAACUAUAUAUGUUUUCACAAAACUCUUGCUAUCCUUGUGGUGCUAUUCUCUUAAGAAGAAAAGCAAUUUGCUUCAAACGCAUGUGCAGAUAAGCAAGCCUCAGUGUCAACUAUAUGUUAGGUGAAAGAUAUGUUUCAUACAGGAUCACACACAAACGUAGAGUGCUUUUCCUUGUGGUAGAACAUAACAUGUAAGACGCAUGCAUUCUAGCAUUGUUAGUGUGAUAAACUCUGUUUUUGAGUUCAGAUCUGCACGUUUUUUCGAGUGAUACUACACUCUCGUUCUGACCUGGGAUAGUUUCCGUGCAGGAGAUUUUAGAUUUGAUUCAGGGCUUUGUAACUGCUGUGUUGACGCUGUAUGACGUUUCAAGCUGCUUUUUACUCUUGCAGGCGUUGUUAGCCGAGCAAUCAUGUUCAAGACUAGUCUUUUGUUACCUUUUGUGGCCUUCAGGGCGAAAAUGAAGAUCAUCUUCAGCUAGAUACCAUGCAGACAAUGUUGAGGUGAACCAUUUCUUCCCUAAUUCCCCUGGAUAUUGUAAAAGAUGACAAUUGAUAUCCAACAGAAAUUCCUCUCUUGAUUUCCUAUAAUUCAUUCUGAUUUUCAAAACUGCAAAAGACAAAAUGCCCGUACACGUUGCUGACUUUGCUCCUCUUCAAGUGUUUGCGGAGUGGCACCAAAACAUUCCCAAGUGGGUGGGUAAACUUUGAAAGUUUGACUGUGAAAACUUUGAAUUUUGAUUGACCCGCAGUUGCAAGCGACGGUAAGACCUUUUUUGAACAUUUCCUCUACCGUGCUGUUCCUUUGUAAUAGCUAGUAGUUACAGAGUAGUUACGGCAUGUAUUUCAGAAAAUUUAUUGAAAAGUUCGACUGAUCGUGUGACAGGAAGUCACGCCAACAUUUUACCAAAUUAGGUUUGAUGUUAAUGGCAAAGCAAACACACUUCAAUGUAGUGAAUGGGAUUGACAAGCCUCCAAUUCAAAACUCCUACGAUUUGUGACAUUUGAAAAAAAAGCUCAGAAAAAAAUAUAUUACCCUCGACCCUUGACCCUUGACAAAAAGAUAGACUUGCAAUAGAUUCAGAGCAGAGAAACGAAGUGACCUGCCAGUUAUUUGUCCAAUGGAAAAACCAAAUCUAUUUUGUUGACGUUUCUACUUUCUGAUUGCAUUUGGUGUGAGAAACUUCCCGGACAACUCAGGAUGGUCAAACACUCAUUCUAGCAUCACAAGAUGGGUCAGCAGUGAAAGUGACCAAAACGUUGAA